rnacentral:rRNA from 1 species
AUUGAACGCUGGCGGCAUGCUUUACACAUGCAAGUCGAACGGCAGCGCGGGCUUCGGCCUGGCGGCGAGUGGCGAACGGGUGAGUAAUGCAUCGGAACGUGCCUAGUAGUGGGGGAUAGCCCGGCGAAAGCCGGAUUAAUACCGCAUACGACCUGAGGGUGAAAGCGGGGGACCGAAAGGCCUCGCGCUAUUGGAGCGGCCGAUGUCGGAUUAGCUAGUUGGUGGGGUAAAGGCUUACCAAGGCGACGAUCCGUAGCUGGUCUGAGAGGACGACCAGCCACACUGGGACUGAGACACGGCCCAGACUCCUACGGGAGGCAGCAGUGGGGAAUUUUGGACAAUGGGGGCAACCCUGAUCCAGCCAUGCCGCGUGCGGGAAGAAGGCCUUCGGGUUGUAAACCGCUUUUGUUCGGGAAGAAAUCCUCUGGGCUAAUACCCCGGGGGGAUGACGGUACCGGAAGAAUAAGCACCGGCUAACUACGUG